UUCCAAGAAAAAGAAAUACUUUAGCCCGCCCAAGAGCCUUGAUCUCUCGUGCUUCUAAUUUCCCAUUGGACUCUCGACGCCGCUAGAGUCCAAUCCAUACGUUACUUGGCCCCGGCUGCUCCGCAUUCAUGAAAAUUUCUAUGGAGACGGUAAGGACUUUGUUUGGGAUAUGGAGUGUUGGAGAAGCGACGAAAGCAGCCGAGAAUCUGAGCCUGAAUGUUUUCCAGCAUUCUGCAGUUUCCUAUCAUGUAGAAUCUGCCGAUUUGAUUCAAAAGAAAUCUGCUGUUAUAUUGUCUUGAGAUGCUGCACAACAGGAACAGACAAUGAGCUAUUGACAAAAAGGGUUUUCGUUAUUGCUCUCAAUAGUAGAGCAUUGCUGCAGGCCAUUUAGAGAAUACUGAAGCCAUGCAUGUGCAGCACCUAAUAGCUAGAGCUGCAGAAUAAAUUGCCAAAAAGGUUUCUUGAUAUUUUGGGUGUUCAUUUAAAUCGUAUAUUUUUUUUAGGUAUUUAAUUUGAUCUUAAGCUAUUAAACUUGAACAAAUUUGAUUGUACCAUUAAUUUUGUCGUUUAUUUGAAUAAAAAUGGGUGGAGGAAAGCUUUUUGUGAAGCCAUUAUAUAUAUAUAUAUUUAAGGUCUAAAGAUUGAUCUUAAAAAGUUCAAAAAUGACCUCACGAAACUUUCCUCUAAAUUCUA